UCCAGGAGGGGUUACAUCCGCCCUGUAGAAGGAGCGAAUUUUUUGUAUUUCAUUUGCCCAGGGAAGUAGUUUUUUCACAGUCUGCACCAAGGCACUCUCUGUACCAGCAGUAGCACUGACCACUGCAGGAUCCAAGCUUUGCUGGAUAUUUUGAGGUCACUGCUAUCACUUUGGGCCUCCCCUGAUGUCCAGCAUCAGUUGAUCUGACAAAUACGAAAUACCAUGGAUCCUACAUAUCACCUAAAAUGAAUCUGACCACAGUCUGCUCUGAGACCAUGAUGCAUUGCAGGUUAUUUUCAGGAACCUCUGUUUACUAUGUGAGGAAACACGAGGUGUCUGGAGUCUGUAAUCAGAGGCUGAAAAAGAUGUCUCCAGACCCUCAGCUCAAAAUGGCAUUUUUAAUUUUGAUUUCAUCACCAAAGAAUACUUACCAUGCCACUUGAACCUCAUGGUUUACCGACUGAAGUUGGUUGUUCAUAAAUCUAGUUCGUCCGUUCAAGUUCCCUGGGUACCAGCUGAUCUGAUCCAAUAGCCCCUUAUUGUAACUCAUCUGUUGAGGUCUUCCUCAUCAACCACAAAAGAAAAGUUAGUGGAAGAUUUGAAAGAAAGAUUAUCUCAGAGUUUGGAAAGAGGGAAAUCAUUUAAUAUCUCAAUGAGCUUAAAUGACCGGGUCUUUUUGAAAUCAGCAUAUAACACAACGACAAUGAUAAAUCUUUUUUUCUAAAAAUGCCUUUUCGGCACAAAGUGAGCGACCACUUCACGAACAAUUGGGCACCCAAAUAAUUGGAAAUAUUUCAGAAGAGCAAAUGAAGCAAAAGAGAUCAUAGAAAGCUGGAAAUAUAUGGAUGCAAUUUUGAGCCUAAAUGAACAUGCAGCGCCAUAUACAAAAUAAUCAGUGAGAUGUGAAAACGAAUGUGGAUCCCUUUGAUUUGAAUCAACAGGGUGUGAAGGGCUCUUAUUAUUAAAGGCAAACCUUGAUGCCACCUCGCCCUUGUCCAGAUCCAGACAUCCAAGGUCCUGGCUCUGGAGAGGCACAAACCCAGCACUGAAGUGCCUGCCAGCAAGAAGAUGGAAUGCAAUCCUGCAACCAGUACUCUUUGGCUGACUCUAACUCAGAAGCCUUCCUCACUGUCAAUCUUCUGAAAAAUUUUCCUCCCCGUUAGCAAUUUUAGAAGUUCCUUACCAAUACAGGGCCUCAAAUGCAGUGAAGACAGGUAGCCUAUACUGUCAACCUAGGUAUAGGGAAACGGAUACGCUAUAGCACAAAGAGCUGCCACAGAGCUAUUCCUUCUAGAAAACUAACCAAGGGGGGAAGGGAGUAGUGUUCCUCCUAUCCCAAAAGCAAAAGAAUCAAGGAUCAUUUCAGAGCUUGGAGGAGCCCUAAAAAUCUUCUCCAGGGAUUUCCAAACUGUUCAGCCAAGUCUCAGGAUAUUGAGAGAGGCUUCAGAUAAAGAAAAACAGGGCUAGGGAAUCCCUGGGUGGCUCAGUGGUUUGGCAUCUGCCUUUGGCCCAGGGUUUGAUCCUGGAGUCCUAGGAUCGAGUCCCACAUCAGGCUCCAUGCACCGGGAGCCUGAUGUGGGAUUCAAUCCUGGGUCUCCAGGAUCGCGCCCUGGGCCAAAGGCAGGCGCCAAACCGCUGCGACACCCAGGGAUCCCAGAGGGCAGAUUUAAAUUAGAAAGAGGACUCCCCGAAGUUUUCCAAGUGGGAACAAUAAAAGAGCAUUUUGUCUUGAGGACUAGAAAGAAGAGAGGAAGGAGCAUCAAAGUGAACUGACUCAGUAAUUAAGGAUAAUCAUGUGAGAAUCUUGGGCACCUGGAACCCUCCAGAACUGAAGGAGGGAGACGUGGAUACCACGAAUGGGGGUGAGGAAGAGAAGGGGGCACUUGCCCCCACCAGAGCGGUGACAGAACAGGAAAGACUCACUUGGGAAGCUUCCUCUGAGGCAAAGUAGAGGUGGACACAUCACCCCUUUACUUUACCAGUAAAGCCAAUUAACAGGGGAACACGCCAGAGAAUCCUGGACUUUAGAUAUGGUUGAAUGAGCCUGGGAUAGGAGGGAGAUGUUUAGAAAAAAAAAA
rnacentral:lncRNA from 1 species